GCAGCCUUUCACGCUGGAAAAAAAGAGAAAAACCAAUGAUCCAACACAUACAGCCUACACCAGUGGUUCCCAAACCUUUGCUAAGUCUUUCAUGGACAAUCACAGUGAGGGGUGGGAAGUGCGGAGAGAGGAGAAAGGACCUGGGUAGAGAGCCAUGGAAAUAAGAGUUAGGCUAAUCCCAUGGACCUUAGUCAAUUUUUGCACAGAAAGUGCAGUAAAGGUAUGGCCAAACCAAAUGUGGCGACAGGAAGCAAAGGCUCACAAACCCCACACUAGUUUAUCACACAUUUGUCCCGAGACAACGACAGAUGUUUGGAUAGGACAGUCUAAUCAAACUCACCUC